AGAUUGGAGGAAAAAGCCUGGUUGUGAAGUCCAUUUGGGCAGCGUCAGUGGGGAAAAAAAUGCAGCUGGCGCUCUUCAAAAAUAUGAAGAGCUGGCAUUUCAUAUUGAAAAGCGGCUCACUUUUCCCUUCUUUGGAAUGUUCACACAUCUGGCUAAAUAGUUUUGAAAAAAUAUUAGAAACAGGUUUGGCAAAUAUGAAUAUAUAUUUAGGUUUUCAAAAUUCACUUCUACAGAUCGUAAUUCCAGAGAAAAUCCAAACAAAUACAAAUGACAGUUCAGAAAUAGAAUAUGAACAAAUAUCCUAUAUUAUUCCAAUAGAUGAGAAACUGUACACUGUGCACCUUAAACAAAGAUAUUUUUUAGCAGAUAAUUUUAUGAUCUAUUUGUACAAUCAAGGAUCUAUGAAUACUUAUUCUUCAGAUAUUCAGACUCAAUGCUACUAUCAAGGAAAUAUUGAAGGAUAUCCAGAUUCCAUGGUCACACUCAGCACGUGCUCUGGACUAAGAGGAAUACUGCAAUUUGAAAAUGUUUCUUAUGGAAUUGAGCCUCUGGAAUCUGCAGUUGAAUUUCAGCAUGU
rnacentral:lncRNA from 1 species